rnacentral:sRNA from 1 species
CAAACAGUACGUGAAACCGUUGGGAGGGAAACGAACGAGGUUGGUGCAGUGAUUGCGCAGGCUCAGGUUCUGCCGAAGGUGCCGUCGGGUGGGCCCACGUGUCCCCUGGCGUACGUCGGAGGCAGAGCCGUACUCCUCGCGAGCACGGACCAGCAGCGGUUGGAGUGGAGCCAUAAGGCUGACAGGAAGGUAGGUCGGGUCGGGCUUGCCCGCUCGACAACUUACAGACUGGCUGUCCGGCGCUCCACUCGGACCGAGGAAAGGGGGCAGCUCUUGCCCGGUGUGGUGCACGCCGUAUGGCGGGGCCUCCCGUCGAGGGCGAGCCGUGCGGGGUUGACUGCUUGCAGUGCUCACCGUCACGGUGGACCCACGGUCGGAGAGUGUCACUUGUGCACCAGUGCUGCUGGUAUUCGGACGGCCUCGUCCGA